GUUAUAUGGUCAAGUGACCAAGCGUGCACGGUGGAUGCCUUGGCAGUCAGAGGCGAUGAAGGACGUGGUAAUCUGCGAAAAGGUUCGGGGAGUUGAUAAACAAGCUUUGAUCCGAACAUGUCCGAAUGGGGAAACCCACUCUACUUGUAGAGUAUCCCACAGUGAAUACAUAGCUGUGUGGAGGCGAACCCGGGGAACUGAAACAUCUAAGUACCCGGAGGAAAAGAAAUCAACCGAGAUUCCCUAAGUAGCGGCGAGCGAAAGGGGAUUAGCCCUUAAGUGGUUUUGGUGUUAGUAGAAGGCUCUGGAAAGUGCCGCGAUAGAGGGUGAUAGCCCCGUAUACGAAAACACCUUAAUCAUGAAAACGAGUAGGACGGGACACGUGUUAUCCUGUCUGAAUAUGGGGGGACCAUCCUCCAAGGCUAAAUACUCCUGACUGACCGAUAGUGAACCAGUACCGUGAGGGAAAGGCGAAAAGAACCCCUGUGAGGGGAGUGAAAUAGAUCCUGAAACCGUGUACGUACAAGCAGUGGGAGCGGACUUGUUCCGUGACUGCGUACCUUUUGUAUAAUGGGUCAACGACUUAUUUUCAGUAGCAAGGUUAAGCACAUAGUGGAGCCGUAGGGAAACCGAGUCUUAAUAGGGCGUUUAGUUGCUGGGAAUAGACCCGAAACCGGGCGAUCUAUCCAUGAGCAGGUUGAAGGUUGAGUAACAUCAACUGGAGGACCGAACCCACAUCCGUUGAAAAGGCUGGGGAUGACUUGUGGAUAGGAGUGAAAGGCUAAUCAAGCUCGGAGAUAGCUGGUUCUCCUCGAAAGCUAUUUAGGUAGCGCCUCGUAUCUCACCAUUGGGGGUAGAGCACUGUUUGGGCUAGGGGGUCAUCCCGACUUACCAACCCCAUGCAAACUCCGAAUACCAAUGAGUGCAAUUACGGGAGACACACAGCGGGUGCUAACGUCCGUUGUGGAAAGGGAAACAACCCAGACCGUCAGCUAAGGUCCCAAAGUUACAGUUAAGUGGGAAACGAUGUGGGAAGGCUUAGACAGCUAGGAGGUUGGCUUAGAAGCAGCCAUCCUUUAAAGAAAGCGUAAUAGCUCACUAGUCGAGUCGGCCUGCGCGGAAGAUAUAACGGGGCUCAAACUGUACACCGAAGCUACGGAUGCUUARUUUAYUAGGCAUGGUAGAGGAGCGUUCUGUAAGCCGUUGAAGGUCAAGCUGUAAGGCAGGCUGGAGGUAUCAGAAGUGCGAAUGUUGACAUGAGUAACGAUAAGGGGAGUGAAAAACUCCCCCGCCGGAAGACCAAGGUUUCCUGUCCCAUGUUAAUCAGGGCAGGGUGAGUCGGCCCCUAAGGCGAGGCAGAAAUGCGUAGUCGAUGGGAAACAGGUUAAUAUUCCUGUACUCGUGCAUAUUGCGAUGGAGAGACGGAGAAGGCUAGGCCAGCACAGCGAUGGUUGUCUGUGUUUAAGGCGGUAGGUUGAGGGCUUAGGCAAAUCCGGGCCCUCUUAAGACCGAGAACUGAUGACGAGCCCUCUUUUGGGCGAAGUGGUUGAUGCCAUGCUUCCAGGAAAAACUUCUAAGCUUCAGAUAUGCAGGAACCGUACCCCAAACCGACACAGGUGGUCAGGUAGAGAAUACCAAGGCGCUUGAGAGAACUCGGGUGAAGGAACUAGGCAAAAUGGUACCGUAACUUCGGGAGAAGGUACGCCGGCCGGUGUGAAGGACUUGCUCCGUAAGCACUAGUCGGUCGAAGAUACCAGGUGGCUGCGACUGUUUAUUAAAAACACAGCACUCUGCAAACACGAAAGUGGACGUAUAGGGUGUGACGCCUGCCCGGUGCUUGAAGGUUAAUUGAUGGGGUUAGCGCAAGCGAAGCUCUUGAUCGAAGCCCAAGUAAACGGCGGCCGUAACUAUAACGGUCCUAAGGUAGCGAAAUUCCUUGUCGGGUAAGUUCCGACCUGCACGAAUGGCGUAACGAUGGCCACACUGUCUCCACCCGAGACUCAGUGAAAUUGAAAUCGCAGUGAAGAUGCUGUGUAUCCGCGGCUAGACGGAAAGACCCCGUGAACCUUUACUAUAGCUUCACAGUGAACUUUGAACCUACUUGUGUAGGAUAGGUGGGAGGCUUUGAAGUGCAGACGCCAGUUUGCAUGGAGC
rnacentral:rRNA from 1 species